rnacentral:lncRNA from 1 species
UAAAGCCCGGUAUUGUUGUUUAUUGUCACUUCCUCCCCGUGUCAGGAUUGGGUAAUUUGCGCGCCUGUUGCCUUCCUUGGAUGUGGUAGCCGUUUCUCAGGCUCCCUCUCCGGAAUCGAACCCUAAUUCUCCGUCACCCGUCACCACCAUGGUAGGUGUCCCUGUUGCCUUCCUUGGAUGUGGUAGCCGUUUCUCAGGCUCCCUCUCCGGAAUAGAACCCUAGUUCUUCGUCACCUAACACCACCAUGGCACGCCACUAUCCUACCAUCGAAAGUUGAUAGGGAAUAAAUUUGAAUGAUACGUCGCCGGCACGAUGGCCAUGCGAUCCGUCUAGUUAUCAUGAAUCAUCGCAGCAAUAGGCAGAUACCGCGUCGACCUCUUGUCAAAUAAAUGCACCCCUUCUAGAAUUCGCGGUUUGCUACACGUAUUAGAUCUACAAUUACUACGGUUAUCCAAGUAGUAGAUACCAACAAACAAACUAUAACUGAUUUAAUGAGCCAUUCGCAGUUUCACAGUAUGAAUUUGUUCAUACUUACACAUGCAUGGCUUAAUCUUUGAGACAAGCAUAUGACUACUGGCAGGAUCAACCAGGUAGCAUUCCUCAUUGACGCGCAGUUUCACAGUAUGAAUUUGUUCAUACUUACACAUGCAUGGCUUAAUCUUUGAGACAAUCAUAUGACUACUGGCAGGAUCAACCAGGUGGUAUUCCUCAUUAACGCCGGCGUCGCAUGAGCGUGGCCGACCCAAAAGGGCAGGACCAAGUCCAAGGCGAGCACGACCGUCAUUCGUAAGGAGCAUUCGUUCGGUAGAUAGAAUCCAAUAAAUGGCCCGUGCCCAUUGCGUUUACCAAAUUCGAGAGCCCGAGCAUGCUAAGUUGUGGACCAAGCCAUCACAAGGCGAAUCUAGGACGACCUGGGACACAACUGUUGCUUUUGAAUCACCCCGUACGUCGAACGCGAGGGGCGAAAGGCGACCGAUUGUGCUUGAUAAUGCCUUGGAAUUUGGUAUGCAACACAGAAAAUCGACGUCAAACAAGCCUAAUCUUUGCUUGUGACAUGACUGAGAUGGCAUGCGAGCUAGGACAUCCCUGCCAUGUCCUGCUACCUCCCGACUCGUGUCAUUGCAAUGCCUUGCCAUGUCCUGAAGCGUCCUGACACGUGCCAUGGCCAUGUCCUGAUGCGUCCUGACACGUGACAUAGCCAUGUCCUGCAACGUCCUGACUCGUGCCAUGACCACGCCCGGCCAUGUCCUGACGCGUCCUGACACAUGCCAUGUCCUGACGCAUCCUGAUGCGUCCCGACUCGUGCCAUAGCCACGCCCUGCCAUGUCCUGCGACCUCCUGACUCGUGUCAUGGCAACGCCCUGCCAUGUCUUACGGCCAUGUCCUGGCGCGUCCUGAUGCGUCUCGACUCGUGCCAUGGCCACGACAUGCCAUGUCCUGCGACGACCCGACACAUGUCUUGACACGUGCCAUGGCCAUGUUCUGACGUGUCCUAACAUGUGCCAUGGCCAUGUCCUGAUGCGUCCUGACACGUGCCAUGGCCUUGUCCUGACAUGUCAUGCGACCUCCCGAUUCGUGUCAUGGCAAUGCCCUGCCAUGUCCUGAUGCCUCUUGACACGUGCCAUGGCCAUGUACUGAUGCGUUCGGACACGUGCCAUGGCCAUGUCUUGAUGCAUCCUUACACGUGCCACGGCCACGCCCUGCGACCUCCCAACUCGUUAUCUUUUAACAGAUAUGCCACCCCAGCCAAACUCCCCACCUGACCAUUUCUUCCACCCGAAUCGGCCUGCAAGCAAGCCUUGGGUCCAAAAGGAGGGGCAGUGCCCCGCUUUCGAUUCACGGAAUAAGUAAGAUAACGUUAAAAGUAGUAGUAUUUCACAUUCUCCUUUCAGCUCCCACUUAUACUACACCUCUCAAGUCAUUUCACAAAGACGGACUAGAGUCAAGCUCAACAAGGUCUUCUUUCCCUGCUGAUUCUGCCAUGCCCGUUCCCUUGGCUGUGGUUUCACUCUAUAGUAGACAGGGACAGUGGGAAUCUCAUUAAUCCAUUCAUGCGCGUCACUAAUUAGAUGACGAAGCAUUUGGAUACCUUAAGAGAGUCAUAGUUACUCACGCCGUUCACCCACAAUUGGUUGAAUUUCUUCACUUUCACAUUUAAAGCACUGGGCAGAAAUCACAUUGCGUAAACAUCCGCAGGGACCAUCGCAAUGCUUUAUUUUAAUAAAAUAAUGAGAUUCCCCUUGUUCGUACCAGAUUUGUGUUUGUUGUUUGAUGCCCUGGGAAGGCCCCUGAAGGAACUGUUCCCAGUCCGUUUCCCGAUCACCACGCGGCGACACGCUCUCACCAUGGGAGCAGCUCGAGCAGUCCACCACCAGCCGACGGGUUCGGGAAUGGGACCCGGCCUAGCCCUCAAAGCCAAUCAUUUUCCCGAAAUUACGGAUCCAUUUUGCCGACUUCCCUUGCCUACAUUGUUCCAUCGACUAGAGGCUGUUCACCUUGGAGAGCUGAUGCGGUUAUGAGUACGAGCGAGCAUGGACGGCACUCGGUCCUCCGGAUUUUCAAGGGCCGCCGGGGGCACAUCGGACACCACGCGACGUGCAGUGCUCUUCCAACCGCUGGACCCUACAUCCGACUGAGUCAUUUCCAGGGUGGGCAGGCUGGUAAAUAGAAAAGAUAACUCUUCCCAAGGCCCCCGACGAUGUCUCUGGACUUCCUAAUGUAGCCGUCAAUUGCAGCAUCCCGGUUCAGGAAUUAAAACAUGAUUCCCAUAUGGAGUACGCGCGAAAUGCGCUAUCUGUUAGGGUUCCCCCGACCCUUAGGAUCGACUAACCCAUGUGCAAGUGUCGUUCACAUGGAACCUUUCUCCUCUCCAGCCUUCAAAGUUCUUAUUUGAAUAUUUGCUAUUAUCACCAAGAUCUGUACCAAGGGCCACUCCACCAAGGAUCACGCCCAAGGUUUUGUAGCGACCGCCGCACCCUCCUGCUCAUCGAGGCCUGGCACUUGCCCCGAUGGCCUGGUGUAGGUCGCACACUUAAGCGCCAUCCAUUUUUGGGGCUAGCUGAUUCGGCAGGUGAAUUUUUACACACUCCUUAGCGGAUUUCGACUUCCAUGACCACCAUCCCAUUUUCUUAAUCGACCAACACCCUUUGUGGGAUCUAGGUUAGAUCACAGUUUGGCACCGUAACCUGGCUUCCGGUUCAUCCCGCAUUGCCAGUUCUGCUUACCAAAAAUGGCCCACUUGGAGAUCUUGAUUCAGUGGCACGGGUCAACAAAGCAGCCGCGCCAUCCUACCUAUUUAAAGUUUGAGAAUAGGUCGAGGGCGUUGCGCCCCCGAUGCCUCUAAUCAUUGGCUUUACCCGAUAGAACUCGCACGCGAGCUCCAAGUUCUGCUUACCAAAAAUGGCCCACUUGGAGAUCUUGAUUCAGUGGCACGGGUCAACAAAGCAGCCGCGCCAUCCUACCUAUUUAAAGUUUGAGAAUAGGUCGAGGGCGUUGCGCCCUCGAUGUAUUUAAUCAUUGGCUUUAUGCAAUAGAACUUGCACGCGAGCUCUAUGUAUCCUGAGGGAAACUUCGGAGAGAACCUGCUACUAGACGGUUCGAUUAGUCUUUCGCCCCUAUGCCCAAGUGAGACGAACGAUUUGCGCAUGAGUAUCUCUGCGAGCCUCCACCAGAGUUUCCUCUGGCUUCGCCCUGCUCAGGCAUAGUUCACCAUCUUUCGGGUCCCGACAGGUAUGCUCACACUCGAACCCUUCACAGAAGAUCAAGGUCGUUUCGCCCCUAUGCCCAAGUCAGACGAACGAUUUGCACGUCAGUAUCGCUGCGAGCCUCCACCAGAGUUUCCUCUGGCUUCGCCCUGCUCAGGCAUAGUUCACCAUCUUUCGGGUCCCGACAGGUAUGCUCACACUCGAACGCUUCACAGAAGAUCAAGGUCAGUCGGCGGUGCACCCCUCAAGGGGAUCCAACCAAUCAGCUUCCUUACACCUUACUGGUUUACUUGCCCAUUGACUCGCACACAUGUCAGACUCCUUCAUCCGUGUUUCAAGAUAGGUCAAAUGGGGAGCCCACAGAUGCCAAAGCACGCCAGAUGCGCGUGAUGCCUACCACAAUAAAGGAGACAAUUUCCACGAGCGUAUAAAAAGCCCAGGCUUUGGCCGCCCCCCAACCCAUGCCGGUCCACGCCCCGAGUCAAUCGGCGAACCGACUCAACACCGUUACACAUCCGACCAGGGUGCAUCGCUGGCCCUCAUCUGCUUCCCUCAUGAAAAUUUCAAGCAUCUUUGACUCUCUUUUCAAUGUCCUUUUCAUCUUUCCCUCGCGGUACUUGUUCGUUAUCGGUCUCUCGCCCGUAUAUAGCCUUGGAAGGAAUUCACCGCACGAUUUAGGCCACAUUCCCAAACAACCCAACUCGUAGGUAGCGGCUCAUGGUGAAACAGGGUCCGGGCACAACGGGGCUCUAACCCUCUCUGGCACCCCCUUCCAGGGGACUUGGGCCCGGUCUGUCGCUGAGGAUUCUUCUCUAGACUACGAUUCGGACCAUGGAGCCACCCGAUUCUAAGGCUGGGCUAUUCCCGGUUCGCUCGCCGUUACUAGGGGAAUACUUUUAAGUUUCUUUUCCUCCGCUUAUUGAUAUGCUUAAACUCAGCAGGAAGUCCUGCCUAAGCUGGGGUUGUCGUCGGAGCGCCUAAGCGCGAUUAGGGUCGGGGAGCCCAAACAUGCAACGGGUUGGAGCCGCGACAUUACGGGUUGGAGGCCAGUAUCUGUCCCAUGACAGCACCGCGACAAUGAGAAUGGGCUUAGUGUGCGGGGGCGACGCGAUGCGUGACGCCCAGGCAGACGUGCCCUCGGUCUAAUGGUUUCGGGUGAAAUUUACGUUCAAAGACUCGAUGGUUCAUGCGAUUCUGCAAUUCACACCAAGUAUUGCAUUUCGUUACGUUCUUCAUCGAUGCGAGAGUCGAGAUAUCCGUUGCCAAGUGUCAUUUAUGUUUUAAAGGAAGCAAAAGUCCCCCGCGCACGCUGGGAAUGGGGCGCGAGGGGCGGGCUUUCAAUUUAGUAUUCCUUGGCGAUUUCCACGCUGGGGUUUGAUAAUCACCCGGCACGCACACGAGCGCGUGCGUCGGGGAUGUAGGAGGAAGCCGCACGGACAGAGGCCGAAGCAUCCCGGUCGCACCGCUCCCCAAUUUUGAAACAAGUUCGCAUGUCUUUCUGCCUUGCAGGUUUCGACAAUGAUACUUCCGCAGGUUCUCAUACGGAAACCUUGUUACGACUUCUCCUUCCUCUAAAUGAUAAGGUUCAAUGGAUUUCUCGCGACUUCGCGGGCAGCGGAACGCCCGCGUCGUUGCGAUCCGAACAUUUAAUAGGAUCAUUCAAUCAAUAGGAGCGACGGGCGGUUUUUACAAAGGGCGGGGACGUAGUCAACGCAAGCUGAUGACUCGCGCUUACUAGGAAUUCCUCGUUAAAGACAAACAAUUGCAAUGAUAUAUCCCCAUCACGAUGAAAUUUCAAUGAUUACCCGGGCCUGUCGGCCAAGAAUAUAAACUCGUUGAAUACAUCAUUGUAGCGCGCGUGCGGCCCAGAACAUCUAAGGGCAUCACAGACCUGUUAUUACCUCAAAACUUCCGCGGCCUAAGAGGUCAUAGCCCCUCUAUGAAGCUGGUCGCGAAGGGAUACCUCCACAUAGCUAGUUAGCAGGCUGAGGUCUCGUUCGUUAACGGUUAACCAGUUAAAUCGCUCCACCAACUAAGAACGGCAAUGCACCACCACCCAUAUAAUCAAGAAAGAGCUAUCAGUCUGUCAAUCCUUACUAUGUCUGGACCUGGUAAGUUUCCCCGUGUUUAGUCAAAUUAAGCCGCAGGCUCCACUCCUGGUGGUGCCCUUCCGUCAAUUCCUUUAAGUUUCAGCCUUGCGACCAUACUCUAGUUUCCCCGUGUUUAGUCAAAUUAAGCCGCAGGCUCCACUCCUGGUGGUGCCCUCCCGUCAAUUCCUUUAAGUUUAAGCCUUGCAACUAUACUCCCCCCGGAACCCAAAAACUUUUAUUUCUCAUAAGGUGCCGGCGGAGUCCUAAAAGAAACACCUGCCGAUCCCUGGUCGGCAUCGUUUGUGGUUGAGACUAGGACGAUAUCUGAUCGUCUUCGAGCCCCCAAAUUUCGUUCUUGAUUAAUGAAAACAUCCUUGUCAAAUGCUUUCACAGUUGUUCGUCCUUCAUUAAUCCAAGAAUUUCACCUCUGACUAUGAAGUACGAAUGCCCCGACUGUCCCUGUUAAUCAUUACUCCGAUCCCGAAGGCCAACGUAAUAGAACCGAAAUCAUAUAAUGCUAUGCCAUGCUAAAGGGACGAGACGACCGGUGCACACCAAAGGCGGACCGGCUGGCCCAUCCCAAAGUCCAACUACGAGCUUUUUAACUGCAACAACUUAAAUAUACGCUAUUGGAGCUGGAAUUACCGCGGCUGCUGGCACCAGACUUCCAUCCCAAAGUCCAACUACGAGCUUUUUAACUGCAACAACUUAAAUAUACGCUAUUGGAGCUGGAAUUACCACGGCUCCUGGCACCAGACUUUCCCUCCAAUAGAUCCUCGUUAAGGGAUUUAGAUUGUACUCAUUCCAAUUGCUAGAAUCACAGAGCCCGGUAUUGUUAUUUAUUGUCACUACCUCCCCGUGUCAGGAUAGGGUAAUUUGCGCGCCUGCUGCCUUCCUUGGAUGUGGUAGCCGUUUCUCAUGAUCCCUUUCCGGAAUCGAAC